rnacentral:rRNA from 1 species
ACUCAAAUGAAUAGACGGGGACCCGCACAAGCAGCGGAGCAUGUGGUUUAAUUCGAAGCAACGCGAAGAACCUUACCAGGGCUUGACAUCCCCCGGACCGAACUAGAGAUAGUUCCUUCCCUUCGGGGACUGGGGAGACAGGUGGUGCAUGGUUGUCGUCAGCUCGUGUCGUGAGAUGUUGGGUUAAGUCCCGCAACGAGCGCAACCCCUACUUUUAGUUGCAAACAGUUCGGCUGUGCACUCUAAAGGGACUGCCGAUGAUAAAUCGGAGGAAGGUGGGGAUGACGUCAAAUCAUCAUGCCCUUUAUGUCCUGGGCUACACACGUGCUACAAUGGUCAAUACAACGGGUAGCGACCUCGUGAGAGGUAGCCAAUCCCACAAAGUUGAUCCCAGUUCGGAUUGUAGGCUGCAAUUCGCCUACAUGAAGCCGGAGUUGCUAGUAAUCGCGGAUCAGAAUGCCGCGGUGAAUGCGUUCCCGGGUCUUGCACACACCGCCCGU